rnacentral:rRNA from 1 species
GACGAACGCUGGCGGCGUGCCUAACACAUGCAAGUCGAGCGAAUGAAGUUCCUUCGGGAAUGGAUUUAGCGGCGGACGGGUGAGUAACACGUGGGCAACCUGCCUCAUAGGGGGGAAUAGCCUUCCGAAAGGGAGAUUAAUACCGCAUAAGAUUGUAGUACCGCAUGGUACAGCAAUUAAAGGAGCAAUCCGCUAUGAGAUGGGCCCGCGGCGCAUUAGCUAGUUGGUGAGGUAACGGCUCACCAAGGCGACGAUGCGUAGCCGACCUGAGAGGGUGGUCGGCCACAUUGGGACUGAGACACGGCCCAGACUCCUACGGGAGGCAGCAGUGGGGAAUAUUGCACAAUGGGGGAAACCCUGAUGCAGCAACGCCGCGUGAGUGAUGACGGCCUUCGGGUUGUAAAGCUCUGUCUUCAGGGACGAUAAUGACGGUACCUGAGGAGGAAGCCACGGCUAACUACGUGCCAGCCGCCGCCGUAA